rnacentral:tRNA from 1 species
GCACCUAUAGCUCAGCGGGAGAGCACUUGGUCGACAACCAAGGGGUCGUUGGUUCAAUCCCAACUAGGUGCACCA